rnacentral:rRNA from 1 species
GACGAACGCUGGCGGCGUGCUUAACACAUGCAAGUCGAGCGAGGCCCACCUUUCGGGGUGGUGUCCUAGCGGCGAACGGGUGAGUAACACGUGGGCAACCUGCCCCCGGCUCGGGGAUAACCCCAAGAAAUUGGGGCUAAUACCGGAUACGACCGCUGACCGCAUGGUCUGGUGGUGGAAAGAUUUAUCGGCUGGGGAUGGGCCCGCGGCCUAUCAGCUUGUUGGUGGGGUAGUGGCCUACCAAGGCGACGACGGGUAGCCGGCCUGAGAGGGUGACCGGCCACACUGGGGCGGAGACAAGGGCCAGACUCCGACGGGGAGCAGCAGUGGGGAAUAUUGCGCAAUGGGCGAAAGCCUGACGCAGCGGCGCGGCGUGGGGGAUGACGGCCUUCGGGUUGUAAACCUCUUUCAGCAGGGACGAAGCCCGCAAGGGUGACGGUACCUGCAGAAGAAGCACCGGCCAACUACGUGCCAGCCGCCGCAGUAA